GGAUGAACGCUGGCGGCGUGCCUAAUACAUGCAAGUAGAACGCUGAAGGAGGAGCUUGCUCUUCUGGAUGAGUUGCGAACGGGUGAGUAACGCGUAGGUAACCUGCCUGGUAGCGGGGGAUAACUAUUGGAAACGAUAGCUAAUACCGCAUGACAACAGUUAUUGCAUGAUAACUGUUUAAAAGGGGCAACUGCUCCACUACCAGAUGGACCUGCGUUGUAUUAGCUAGUUGGUGAGGUAACGGCUCACCAAGGCGACGAUACAUAGCCGACCUGAGAGGGUGAUCGGCCACACUGGGACUGAGACACGGCCCAGACUCCUACGGGAGGCAGCAGUAGGGAAUCUUCGGCAAUGGACGGAAGUCUGACCGAGCAACGCCGCGUGAGUGAAGAAGGUUUUCGGAUCGUAAAGCUCUGUUGUAAGAGAAGAACGAGUGUGAGAGUGGAAAGUUCACACUGUGACGGUAUCUUACCAGAAAGGGACGGCUAACUACGUG
rnacentral:rRNA from 1 species